UGUAAAAUAAGCUAAGAUAUAAGCUGUUGGGUUCAUACCCCAAAAAUGAGUAGAUGACUCUUUUACAA
rnacentral:tRNA from 1 species